rnacentral:rRNA from 1 species
AGAGUUUGAUCAUGGCUCAGAACGAACGCUGGCGGCAUGCCUAACACAUGCAAGUCGAACGGGAUCCGGACUUCGGUUCGGUGAGAGUGGCGGACGGGUGAGUAACGCGUGGGAAUCUGCCCAGUGGUGGGGGAUAACUGCGGGAAACUGCAGCUAAUACCGCAUGAGCCCGAAAGGGGAAAGAUUUAUCGCCAUUGGAGGAGCCCGCGUUCGAUUAGGUAGUUGGUGAGGUAAUGGCUCACCAAGCCGACGAUCGAUAGCUGGUCUGAGAGGAUGAUCAGCCACACUGGGACUGAGAUACGGCCCAGACUCCUACGGGAGGCAGCAGUGGGGAAUAUUGGACAAUGGGGGCAACCCUGAUCCAGCAAUGCCGCGUGAGUGAUGAAGGCCUUCGGGUUGUAAAGCUCUUUCGCCAGGGACGAUGAUGACGGUACCUGGAGAAUAAGCCCCGGCUAACUUCGUGCCAGCAGCCGCGGUAAUACGAAGGGGGCAAGCGUUGUUCGGAAUUACUGGGCGUAAAGGGCGCGUAGGCGGCUUAUCAAGUCAGGCGUGAAAUUCCCGGGCUCAACCUGGGGGGCUGCGCUUGAUACUGAUGAGCUUGAAUGCGGGAGAGGAUAGUGGAAUUCCCAGUGUAGAGGUGAAAUUCGUAGAUAUUGGGAAGAACACCGGUGGCGAAGGCGGCUAUCUGGCCCGUAAUUGACGCUGAGGCGCGAAAGCGUGGGGAGCAAACAGGAUUAGAUACCCCAGUAGUCC